rnacentral:misc_RNA from 1 species
AAGUCGUAACAAGGUUUCCGUAGGUGAACCUGCGGAAGGAUCAUUAACCGUUACAAACAGUGUGUGCUGCGGCCCCCGAGGUGAGGCAACGAGCCUUCGGGAGGUCUGGGGUCCGCCCCUUCACGCGCACGCGUCUGCCAUCCUUACUUUACGAGCACCUUCUGUUCUCCCUCGGCAUGCGUCCUGCGCUGCCGUUGGAACUACAAAACUCUUUUUUGCAUCUAGCAUUACCUGUUCCGACAAUAACAAUCGUUACAACUUUCAACAAUGGAUCUCUUGGCUCUG